GCCUAGGUGGCGUAGCGGUAGCGUGCAUUCCUAAAACGAGUAGUAUGCGGGUUCAACUCCCACUUGAGGUU